GAUGAACGCUGGCGGCGUGCCUAAUACAUGCAAGUCGAGCGAACGGACGAGAAGCUUGCUUCUCUGAUGUUAGCGGCGGACGGGUGAGUAACACGUGGAUAACCUACCUAUAAGACUGGGAUAACUUCGGGAAACCGGAGCUAAUACCGGAUAAUAUUUUGAACCGCAUGAUUCAAAAGUGAAAGCCGGUCUUGCUGUCACUUAUAGAUGUAUCCGCGCUGCAUUAGCUAGUUGGUAAGGUAACGGCUUACCAAGGCAACGAUGCAUAGCCGACCUGAGAGGGUGAUCGGCCACACUGGAACUGAGACACGGUCCAGACUCCUACGGGAGGCAGCAGUAGGGAAUCUUCCGCAAUGGGCGAAAGCCUGACGGAGCAACGCCGCGUGAGUGAUGAAGGUCUUCGGAUCGUAAAACUCUGUUAGUAGGGAAGAACAUAUGUGUAAGUAACUGUGCACAUCUUGACGGUACCUAAUCAGAAAGCCACGGCUAACUACGUG
rnacentral:rRNA from 1 species